rnacentral:rRNA from 1 species
AACGGGGGGGGCAGGUGUUACUCGACAUGACUGGGCGUAAAGGGCAACUAGGCUGUUCCGCUGGUGGGGGGUCUAAGUCCGGUUUUUCAUCGGCCUGGCCCCCCCGACGGCUGAACUGGAGUUCGGUAGGGGGUGGCGGUACCUCCGGUGUAGAGGUAAAAUUCGGUGAUACCGGAGGGACCAACGGCCGGCGAAGGCAGCUACCUGGUCCGUGACUGACGCUGAAAGGCAAAAGCGUGGGGAGCAAACAGG